AUCCCCCUUCACCACCAUCGUCUGGAUUCGAUUUGGAGGGAGCUUCUUCUUGGAUCUAGCCUCACCACCACCGUCUGUUUCUUCUACAACUCUUAAGUCCUCUCUCUUCAAAAUUUGAUAUUGAAGAACGUGCUAAAAAGUGGGUUUUAGGAAGCAUAUGUUCAAGUUGGAGGAACCACAAAUGUCGAUUGAAGACAAAGUAUUUUUUUCCAAAUAUGCCACAUGAUUACAACUUCAAAAAUCGACCCCCAAGUGUUCCACUUGAGCAGUGGAAAAUUCUUAUUAAAUUUUGGAAAUCUGACAUAGCUAAGGUUCGCUGUGAGAAAAAUAAAAUAAGCAGAGCAAAAUUUACUUCUGUACAUACCACAGGAACAAAAACCUUUGCUGAAAUACGAUAUGAAGAGAUGAUGAAAAAUAUUGAUGGAAGAGAGCCAUCUCGUGCAGAAAUGUUCAUCAUGACACAUAAGCCUAAAAAUGAGGAAACCAAAAAGAUUAUUUUAAAGCUUGAGGAUGCAAUUUCUUCGCAUUCAAUAGAACCAGAGAAAAACUCAACCCGAGAUGAUGUAUUUUCCCAAGUCUUUGGAAAAGAUCGACAUGGUUAUGUGCGCACAUAUGGAAAAGGGGUUUCACCUUCCGAUCUAUGGGGAUCUAACUCCCGAGUUGGAAUACAAAAAUUAAUUGAUGAAGUUCAAAGGAAUGCUCAGGUUGAACUACAAAGCAUGAAAAACAGAAUGCAAGAGGAAAUGGAAAUAAAGCUAAAAGAGCAAGUGAAGGAGCAAGUGGAAACCAAACUAAAAGAGCAACUAGAAGCAAUGAAAGUUGAGCUUCUAAACAACUUCAAAAUCGCUUUUACUCAAAUCCCAAGUUAUGCUCCAGAAGUAAUGGUUUCAAAUUUGAAUAAAGAGGAGGUGGACAUUGAAGAUGAUCCAACAUUGAAGAUGAUGGAUAAUGAUGACAACAUCUCUCAUAAAGGUUUAUUUAUUUCAUAGUAGUAAAUAUUGAUUUAGUAUUAAAUGUUUUGAUCUUUGCAUUGUUCCUUUGGUAGUUAUUGAAGAUCCUACAAGUGAGCUCGUAGAGAAAAAUGCACAUGCCUUGAUCUUUCCAUUCACUCAUACUAGCCCCAGGAGAAAAAAAGGAAAAAGUGCAGAAAACUAACACCAAGUUAACUAAGAGGAAAUUAGAAGAUCUUAAUGUUGAAAUUGUCACACUUGAUAACGAUCUUAGCAUUCUCAAACAUCCAUCCAAUGCCUUUGAGCUUUUCUUGCAAGAAUUUGCAAACAACUAUAAAGAAACAAAAGUUGAUUUAGACAAUUUUGAAAGGGUUAAGAAAAAAGUUGUUAAGGCAUGGAACUCUCUGACAAAUAAAGUAAGUCCAAGCCUUUUAUUCAUCCUUAAGAAAUUUAAUAUUAAUUGAGCUUCUUAUUUAUGAUAUUUGAAUCAGGAAUUAGAGUCUUAUUUCAAUGCAGCAACUAAACUCAAAAGAAAAUUACAUUUGAGUACAUUAAAGGAAAGGUUCUUCUUCUUCUUCUUUAUAACUUUAGUGUUGUUAACAUUCUUGAAUAUCAUGCCAUAAGAUGUUCUUAUUAUCCUCUUGAACAUCAUGCCAAAAGUAAUUGUUGCAAUCCAUACAUAGCCACUGCCCAUCAUUCCUAGCUUCUGAGCAAUGGAAAAAUGCUCAAACCAGUUUCAGGAUUAACAUCCCUCCAUCUGUAUAAGUAGUUUUUGUUUCCAUUUUUGUUGUUAUAUUGAUUGUUUGUUAAUGAACUUUAUCUAAGUAGUGUUAUUGAAGGAAAAGAAAUAGGAAAAAGAGAGCAGAAACCUAAAAUUCAUUUUGACGGGAUUGACUUGAAAAAAUUGAAACAAGAGAAAUCCCACAAGUUUGCUAAAUGAUGCACAUACAUUGUUACAUGCAAAUGAGCUGAAGAAGCGGCUUGAAUAAGGUAAUGAUCGUAGGAAGUUCAACAUCAAAAGAUUCUGAAUCAGGAAGAUGAUGAAGAAUAAGACUGAAAUUAAAGCUAAUUCAGUAUCAUAUCUCCAAGAAAUUCUGAACUGUCAAAAUAAAAAUCCAUGCAUUAGUAACAGAAGAAGAGAAGGACAGUUCAAUUUAUGUUGAUGGUUAUUAAGAUCAUAUUUUAAACUUGAGAUUUUCCAUGUUUUAGUUGAGGUAUAUUCUUUGAUGUAUUUACUUUUAUUUUUAAUGCAGAACAUGAUGAUGUUGAGAAUCUUAAAACUCGGACAAAAUUUAAACA